UGUGGGCGAUCGAAGGCUGCGAUGCCUGCAAAGUUGCGGUCCCCUGCCCAGGUACUUAGCAGUUAUCACGAACAUGCAGAGCCGCAUAGCAGUCUUCAAAUACUGGAACUGAACCUGCGUACUGCCGAAGAAGGUCCACCUGAUCUUUCUCCGCGUGGUUUUUAGAGUAAUCUUCAAAGUGGAGAGGAACUUGGAUGCAAAGAGGUGACAGAACCCUGCUACUCAUCUUUGAGGAACACUACUUGGCUGUCCUGGCAAAGCAGUAGCUGAAGACUGGUCUCAGAUACGCUUCUAAAAUUUAAAUUAUCUUUUAAUGUGUUUGUUUUGUA
rnacentral:lncRNA from 1 species